rnacentral:rRNA from 1 species
AUGGAGAAAACUGAAUCGGUGAACGACUAUGCCAUGCGUCUGACUACUUUGGUGGGAGAGAUCCACGCGCUUGGUGCAAAGCUCGACGAGACCGAGAUUGUGGAGAAGUUUUUCAGUUCGGUGACUGAUAAAUUCACGUACAUCAUCGGCACGCUCGAGCAGCUUUACGACAUCGACGACAUGACCAUAACGGAGGCGAUCGGAUGCUUGCGGACGUGGGAAGAGAAUGCUCGUGGAUGUCGGAAAGGCAAAGGAGGAGGUGAUGACCAACUCAUGUACUCACGCGCAGAUUGGGAGUCCCCAAGUAGCAAAGGAAGGCGCAACUUUGGCGAAGGCUCAAGCAACGCGAAGCGCGGCGGACAAACCGAAGAAAGCAAAGGAAAAGACAAGGCACAAGGUCGUGGUAAGGCGGACCGGUCUAAAGAGCGGAAGCCACGGAACUUGGAUAUGUCUGAGGUCAAGUGCUAUAACUGCAACGAGAUGGGUCACUUUGCGAAGGAUUGUCCGGAGCCUAACAAGCGGGAGAUCAAAGCAAAUUUGGCGAAGCAGGAAGUCGAACGCCAGGUCUUCUGA